rnacentral:misc_RNA from 1 species
GAUGAAGAACGUAGCGAAAUGCGAUAAGUAAUGUGAAUUGCAGAAUUCAGUGAAUCAUCGAAUCUUUGAACGCACAUUGCGCCCCCUGGUAUUCCGGGGGGCAUGCCUGUCCGAGCGUCAUUACAACCCUCAAGCUCAGCUUGGUGUUGGGCCCCGCCGCCCCGGCGGGCCCUAAAGUCAGUGGCGGUGCCGUCCGGCUCCGAGCGUAGUAAUUCUUCUCGCUCUGGAGGUCCGGUCGUGUGCUCGCCAGCAACCCCCAAUUUUUUUCAGGUUGACCUCGGAUCAGGUAGGGAUACCCGCUGAACUUAAGCAUAUCAUAAGCGGUGA